GGGAUCAUCGACAACCCGUAACCGUAACCUCCCAGAGAGAAAAUAAUGCCCCGAGGGCUGGAGGAGGAAACAAACCUUGGACAAGCCACGAGUCAAACGAAUGUGACUGGAGCUGAGGCUUUUGAGUUGAGGAUUCGUCGUCAGCGCAUGCUUGCAAAAAUCAUGGGUUGAUCAACAUUCUGUUCCAGAGGAAAACGCUGUUCCUCCUUGUAGCUCGACAGACGAACAAAACAACCUGUACGCACCGCAACCACAAGAGAGCGCCGUACAGAGUUAUUCCGCACACCUAAGUAAGCUCAG
rnacentral:sRNA from 2 species